rnacentral:lncRNA from 1 species
CCCCGGGGCGGCACGGGCGGCGACCAGGCGAGCGCCAUCGCCAACCACUUUUCCUCCUCCCACCACCUCGCCGCCGCCCGAGCGGCCACCCGACAAAGCCGGGUUGGCAUAAGGACGGCGGUGGCGGGGCUCCUUGCCUUCUCUCGUGAGCGCGGUGGCUCGGGGCGCUGCCAAGACAGAGGGAGGACUCCAAGUGGUGGUCUUCAGCGGCCAGCUCCGACGUCGGUGGGGACAGAUCCGGCCCCCACAUGGCCGGAUCUGCCGACAGUGCGUACGGAGGAGGCCGGCGGCGCGUCGGCGGAGGUCGAUGGCGCGAUAGGAAGGCCGCCGGCGCCCGGGGAGGCGGUCGCUGGUGAUGGCAUGCAAGAAGGAGGCCGUCCACGCGCGGGAGAAGGUCGAUGGCACAACGGGAAGGCUCGCAGCGCAUGGGGAGGCGGUUGCCGGUAUUGUGGCGGCGACCAGGCGAGCGUGCCGCCGCCAACUUCUCCCCUCCACCUCGCCGAAGCUCGACCUCCUCUCUCGGGCACGGUGGCCUGGGAGGAGGCGCGGCGCCCAACGAGGAGCGUGGAAGAGGCGGUGGAUGUGGCGACGUGCGAGGUGGACGGCAACGACGGGGGCACGAUGCUGUCCCACACGGCGACUUGUGGGACUGCCCUCCCACGCGACGACGGCAGCGGAGCGGGGCGAGCCUGCUUGAGCUGUGUAUGGUGGGCUAGGCUUGGCGGCUACAGAGACGAUGUGGUUGUCCGGGAACAUGAAGUCGAAGUUGCUUCGUUGGGUGCGAUGAAGCUUGGCAACGAUAACACAUUGCAGUUUUCGAGGGGUGCUGGUGUCUCAUUUCUACGGUGCCUUUGGCAACGAUGA